GUGCUCACUUCAGCAGCACAUAAACUAAAAUUGGAACGAUGCAGACAAGAUUAGCAUGGCCCUUGCACAAGGAUGACACGUAAAUUCGUGAAACGUUCCAUAUUUUU
rnacentral:snRNA from 1 species